GCUGGAUCUGCAAUUUUGAAAGAGAAAAAAAAUGUCAUGAUCCUGUGAUUUGAGGUUAAACAUGGAAGCAUUUCAUCAGACUCGGCAUUGGUUAUAUAGGUAUUCUCACACUCGUGUAAUCUUCAUGUAGGACGCCUUGGAGGGUCAUCACCUCCUCAAGGACCCACCCCUCUCUAUUCUUCAGCACAACCAGCUUUCUGCAUCACCUUCUGCUCCAAUGGACCUCCAGAGAACAUCUCCAUCAAGGCAUUCACCUGUGAAUACAUAAUUCAAGAAAUUUAAACAGAUGUUUCCGCAAGUGAUUAUACAAGGUUCCAGACAUGAGUUUAUUGACAGGAGAGCAAGACUCACAUCGACCGAAAGAACUGCUGUGUAGACUUCUGUCAUUUUUACGUCUUCGUUGCCCAACAGAGAACCUUCGUCAGAGGCGAGCUGUUUCGGUUCAGGUUCUUUGUCAUUCACCUCUCCCUUUUGUUCUAGGCCUGAUAACCGCAUUUUCCAGAGUGCCAUAAUAAUUCUGCCAGAUAUCAGCUUGAUAUAUCAUCAAUCAUUUGAUAAGAGAAGCUCAUGGCGAAUUGUAAUUGAAGAAUGGGAGUCAAGUUGAUGUUUAGCUCAAGGUAUUAUUUGUUUGUGUGCAGUAUUUUUCGUUCAAUAAAAAUUAGUAAUAGUUCUAAUAAAAGGAAACGUAUAAUUAUUUGCCUCCAGUAUUUUUGUUCAAUGAAAAUGUACCUAGGAUGACCUCAUACCAAUUACUCUCUCCAUCCAGAAAUUUAGAUUGUCGUCAGAAGCAUGCAGUCAACCUUUUUGAAA